rnacentral:rRNA from 1 species
ACAGCAGUAGCCGCGGGAAUACGGAGGGAGCUAGCGUUGUUCGGAAUUACUGGGCGUAAAGCGUGCGUAGGCGGCUUCUUAAGUCGGAUGUGAAAUCCCUGAGCUUAACUUAGGAAUUGCAUUCGAUACUGGGAAGCUAGAGUAUGGGAGAGGAUGGUAGAAUUCCAGGUGUAGCGGUGAAAUGCGUAGAGAUCUGGAGGAAUACCGAUGGCGAAGGCAGCCAUCUGGCCUAAUACUGACGCUGAGGUACGAAAGCAUGGGGAGCAAACAGGAUUAGAUACCCCGGUAGUCCCUGUCUCUUAUAA